UAUGGCCGUAGUGUUCGCUGGGAGUGACUCGGGCUGAGGCCAUACAUCCACUUCGAAAUCCACAUUCACAGCCACAGCAACGACAACAAUAGAUAGAUGCGAGACGCGGACACGGACGCCCAUUGACACACAACAAGAGCCACAUGCGGCUCACAAACUACGUCCGACCACUGAGCAAAAAUCCCAAGCCAGAUCCCGAAAUCUGAUUGCAACAGGAGAAAAUAAUACGCUGCUGGUCUGGUUACAAAUUGAAGGGGUGCUUGCCACAAGAAGACCUCAUUAUUAUGCAGGGGUAGAGUUUAGAUGUAUUGUAUAUACGAAAAUACGGAAUGCAACGUCAAAGUCAUUUGUCACGCGCCGGGAACGACAACGACCACGAUAUCAAUGAGCGAACAAUGAACCAGGCGGGCAAACAAACCUCCCCCCAACCUCGCUUUUAGCCGCCACCUUGCCACCCCUCUAUCCUUCAAUCCAUCUACCCAUCUGCCCCGCCCCCUGGCACCUUUCCCACUGCACUACAGGGCUGCCAUCGAACCUGAACCGCACAGAAAUAAAAAUUGAGCACACACUAAAUCAACAAUUACAAGAUAAGCAAACGACCAACGGCGAGCCCAAUAAAGUAUCAAUACUGUUCGA